rnacentral:rRNA from 1 species
UUUAUGGAGAGUUUGAUCCUGGCUCAGGAUGAACGCUGGCGGCGUGCCUAAUACAUGCAAGUCGAGCGAACGGACGAGAAGCUUGCUUCUCUGAUGUUAGCGGCGGACGGGUGAGUAACACGUGGAUAACCUACCUAUAAGACUGGGAUAACUUCGGGAAACCGGAGCUAAUACCGGAUAAUAUUUUGAACCGCAUGGUUCAAAAGUGAAAGACGGUCUUGCUGUCACUUAUAGAUGGAUCCGCGCUGCAUUAGCUAGUUGGUAAGGUAAUGGCUUACCAAGGCAACGAUGCAUAGCCGACCUGAGAGGGUGAUCGGCCACACUGGAACUGAGACACGGUCCAGACUCCUACGGGAGGCAGCAGUAGGGAAUCUUCCGCAAUGGGCGAAAGCCUGACG